rnacentral:lncRNA from 1 species
CAAUCCCGACCGAGUGACGGCCCCGUAAUUGUGACAAAGUGACCCUAAGUGAGGCCACCGGAUUCAUCCCUACCUCUAGCCAAGCCUGGGAAAUCUCGUGGAGCCAAGCUUCUUUAAAAAGAAACUGAAGCCCAGGAAAGGGUGUGACUUGGCCAAGGUCAUGGAGCUGCACCGGGAUUGGAGCCUGGAAUGUUGAAGGCAUCUUGUAUGCCAGCUCCCAAGCGAGAAGGCAGGUAGCCGCACAGUCCGGGCAGCUUUGACCCAUGUCCCAAUGUUACAAAAAGGAGAUGUGGGACUUUUUAGGACUCUCCCUUCCGUAAGCGGCAGCGCCACCUGGCGGUUGUAGUGACGUGCUGCAAGAGGUGCGCUCCGCCGGGAGUGGGGCGCGGUUCCAGGUCCUACAGUAACAAACUGGGCGAGCCUGGGGAAAGCUUCCCGAAGAGUUCAGGGGAGUUGGCGAGCAGAGAAGUGCAGGACCGGAAGGUGGCUCCGAAGGGGCUGACCAGGGCUUUCGGGGCGGGGCCUGGAGGAGGUGGCCUGACUUCAGAC